ACAUACGACCAUAGGAAGUGGAAAAUAGGGCUUCCCGUCCGCUCAGCCGUACUCAAGCCACUUGCCGGUCAGUUAGUAGUAUGGUGGGUGACCACAUGCGAAUCCUGACUGUUGUAUGUGUUU
rnacentral:rRNA from 2 species